rnacentral:rRNA from 1 species
AGGAUUAACGCUGGCGGCGUGCAUGAGACAUGCAAGUCGAACGGACGAGUGGGCUCGCUCACUCGUUAGUGGCGGACGGCUGAGUAACGCGUAGGUGACCUGCCCCGAAGUGGGGAAUAACCGCCCGAAAGGGUGGCUAAUACCGCAUGUGGUGCCACGUUCAUUCGUGUCCCCAAAGCCGUAAGGCGCUUCGGGAGGGGCCUGCGUCCGAUUAGCUCGUUGGUGGGGUAAUGGCUCACCAAGGCGACGAUCGGUAGGUGGUCUGAGAGGACGAUCACCCAGACUGGGACUGAGACACGGCCCAGACUCCUACGGGAGGCAGCAGUCGGGAAUUUUGCUCAAUGGGCGCAAGCCUGAAGCAGCAACGCCGCGUGGGGGAUGACGGCCUUCGGGUUGUAAACCUCUUUUCUUGGGGACGAUAAUGACGGUACCCGAGGAAUAAGUCACGGCUAACUACGUGCCAGCAGCCGCGGUAAUACGUAGGUGACGAGCGUUGUCCGGAUUUACUGGGCGUAAAGAGCGCGCAGGCGGUCGUACAAGUCGAGUGUGAAAUCUCCCGGCUCAACUGGGGAAACGUCGCUCGAUACUGUUCGACUUGAAGGCGGGGAGUAGGGAAGCGGUAAUUCCCCGGUGUAGUGGUGAAAUGCGUAGAUAUCGGGAGGAAACACCAGUGGCGAAGGCGGCUUUCUGGCCCGUUCUUUGACGCUGAGGCGCGAAAGCUAGGGUAGCAAACGGGAUUAGAUACCCCGGUAGUCCUAGCCGUAAACGAUGGACACUAGGUGUUGGUGGUAUCAACCCCGCCAGUGCCGAAGCUACGCAUUAAGUGUCCCGCCUGGGGAGUACGGCCGCAAGGCUAAA